rnacentral:rRNA from 1 species
GAUGAACGCUGGCGGCGUGCCUAACACAUGCAAGUCGAGCGAAGCAAUCGAGAUGAAGUUUUUGGAUGGAUUCCUGAUUGACUGAGCGGGCGACGGGUGAAGGUACGCGUGGUAACCUGCCUCAUACAGGGGGAUAACAGUUAGAAAUGACUGCUAAUACCGCAUAAGCGCACAGUACCACAUGGUACGGUGUGAAAAAACUCCGGUGGUAUGAGAUGGACCCGCGUCUGAUUAGCUGGUUGGUGGGGUAACGGCCCACCAAGGCGACGAUCAGUAGCCGACCUGAGAGGGUGAUCGGCCCAUUGGGACUGAGACACGGCCCAA